AUUUAAAUAGCUUAUAUAGAGAGUAUGAUAUUGAAGAUAUCAGGGAAACAAUUAUUGUUUUUAAAUA
rnacentral:tRNA from 1 species